rnacentral:rRNA from 1 species
UACGUAUGGUGCGAGCGUUGUCCGGAAUUAUUGGGCGUAAAGGGCUCGUAGGCGGUUUGUCGCGUCGGGAGUGAAAUCCACUGGCUUAACUGGUGGCUUGCUUUCGAUACGGGCAGACUGGAGGUAUGCAGGGGAGAACGGAAUUCCUGGUGUAGCGGUGAAAUGCGCAGAUAUCAGGAGGAACACCGGUGGCGAAGGCGGGUCUCUGGGCAAUAACUGACGCUGAGGAGCGAAAGCGUGGGGAGCGAACAGG